rnacentral:lncRNA from 1 species
UACUACGCCCCAAAUGAGGUUUCGAACCCACAUCGAUGAGGGGCAAAUGGUUUGAAGUCAACGACUCUAACCACUCGGCCACGAAGGCCCCAGAAUGAAAGUAAGUACCAUACUUGUUUAUUCUUUUGUACUAUGACUUGUCAUACACUUAAAGUAUUUGAUUUUAUUGAGGUAUUUAAAAUUAUUGGUAUUAAAGUGAAACCUUAUACUUUUUGAGAAAACACUGCAUUUUCCCCGAUGAUUUUUCUAAUUUCAGAUAAUUUAUUUUUAUAGAAAACUCAACCCACUGAAACUUCAGUUACAAUACACAACAGAUAAAUGACCAAGUUAAAGGUGAUAUAUUUUCAAAUAAUUUUCAUUUUUAUGUACUUUUAGGUAAUGACCUCAUUUAAACUCUAUGUUAAGUAACACCGUUUUAUUCUUUUGUAAUUAUUAGUUCGUAAAUGAAAAAUUAACAUUUUGAGAGAAAAUGGAAAUGUAACUUCUAAACUGUUAAUCUUUAUGGAAUGAUAAAAUAUUUUCAUCUACCACAGUAAUCACUUUAUAUGUACAACAACAUCAUGACAGGGCUUUACCUACCAUUCCUCAGGGAGCCGAAAAGGGGCCUUCCCAAUCCAAAAUAGCCACAUCUUUUUUCCCCCAAUUUCAUGACGAAAAUUCCCAAUCAUUUUUCAUACAAUCAACAACAGUAACUGUCUGUACACAAUUUGAAGGCAUUCUCUACACUAUAUUUGCAGUUUAACCCAGAAAAAUGGAUAAAAACUUGAAUACAGAAUACCAUUAAAACUAAUACAUCACGUCGAUUCCACCGCGUUUAUAUACCCAAUGGCAAGUCAGUCUAAUGCAUUCAGGUUCCAAAUUGGUUUCUAUCUAGUAAGAACUGGCUGAAACCAGAUUUUUUAAAAACAUCAGCAACUUUUUUAUAUGUCAGAACAGUCAUCAAUCAUUUUUUUGCUUUGUCAUGACAUUUUUUAAAAAUGACUCAUUUUCAGGUGACCUAUUUAGAACAUCAUCAAUCAUUUUUUUCUGCUUUGUCAUGACAGGAUUUUAAUGACUCACCGUCAUAUGACAUAUCUAGAACAUCAUCAAUUAUUUUUUUUUUUGCUUUGUCAUGACACUUUUUAAAAAUGACUCAUCCUAACAUGAGCUAUCUAGAACAUCAUCAAUCAUUUUUUUCUGCUUUAUCAUGACAUUUUUUAAAAAAUGACUCACCGUCAUAUGACAUAUCUAGAACAUCAUCAAUCAUUUUUUUUUCUGCUUUGUCAUGACAUAAUGAUCUAUGUAAAACAUCAGCAAUCGUUUUUUUGUUUUUUGUUUGAAAUAAAGCUUAAGCUUUCCAACUCUAUAAAACAUAUGCAAAAAUUGAUUUUUACAAUAUCACAACACUUUUAACAAGUACAAACUAAUAACUCAUUUUUUCUACAAAUGAUUUGUUUUGAAGAGCUUUGGGCACAGGAGUGUAGUAUUUGUUUCGAGAAAAAGAAAAUAUACUUUGUUAAUCAGUGUAAAUGUGUACUGUGUAAAUGUCAUCUGUAAAACCUGUUUUCAUCAAUUAAACAAGUGUCCAUUUUGUAGAGCUGUGUAUUCUUGUCGAGGAUCUGAAGUUUUAGUCGAUUCAUGUGGUGUUUUAGAUAGAAGAAGUGCAUCUAAGAGCUAAACGGAACUAGGACUAUUGGUUUCAAUAUUUUAACGGUAGGGAAAUCAUGCGUCCGUACGUUUCUGCAUUCUUUAAUCACGACAUUAUACACUAUUUACUAAAUACUGGUCGGUUUGAUGAUAUCUCUACUGGAGGUAGGUGUGUGGAUAAAAUUUAUGCCCGUGAUUAUUAUGGAGACAUUCAUGUGACUUUAUGAAUAAUCCAAAUACCUCUGUGUCAAUUCCACACUAAAUUACUAUGUUCACCUAUGUUGUAUAAUUUAAUGUACUGUCAAGGGAAGUAAUCACUGAAGGGGGGGGGGGGGGGGUUGACUCCACGGUUGUAUUAAGGAUGACAGUGAUAAAGUUUUACAUUCGUAGUUUUUACAAAAACGCCUGUUAGUCACGUGAAAAAUGGUGGGGUUAAUUCUUUCACUGCUGCUUAGGUUUUGUUUUCUUGUGAGCGGGAAUGAUGGUUAUUAUUUCAAGACGUCUGUAGUGACUUGCAUCAACUUGAAAUUUUAUGUGACUAUAAAGCUGGAGUGAAAAAAAUACGUGAGUGAUGAUUCAUUGCCAUCGGAUCUACCUGUAGAAACAAUUAGGUUUCGUAGAUUACCGGGCAAAGUGCGAAUAGAUGUAACAUGCUUUUCAAAGUUCAACAAUUUGAUAAUAGAAAGUGGAUUUUUAGAUGAAUUAAGCCAUAUGCCCUGCGAACAUAUCAUAGGAACUAACAACAAUUUCUCAGUAGUGAUUGUUGACCAAUUUGAUGGUGGUGCACCUGAGACUAGAUGUUGGAGUGAAACUGUUGAUUUGCGUGAUGCAAUAAACGUCAUAGAGGAACAACUUCUGAGUCUAGAUGAAAUUAGUGUAGAAAAAAAAGCGAUGACAGUAAAACGGACUCCACUACUGCAAUAAAGCCAGCUCUGGAAGGAAAGAGAGAAAAGCCUGCUGCUGUAGCAAAGAGGGGAAAGACAGAUGUGGAAGGAAAACGUUACAAACCGUAUUAUUAUUAUUAUACCAGAUUUAUAUAGCGCCCUUUUCAUGAUCAAUUUCACGUUCAAAGGCGCUUUACAUAGUUCAAAUGCAGCCACACAGGGCGCAUAAUUCAUCCUCUAC